UCUUUAGCUCAUGGCCAAAUGAAGCUUUCUUUGGCUUCAAUCAAAACAGGUUUAUUACUCAACACUUUUUAACACAGUCCUCUUUAGUGGCAUCAGUAGGCUGGAGGUGUGAAGAGCAGCUUCAUUAUGACCACCCAAUAGACAGAGUUGAGUGGACAGCUUCUGUUUAAUAAUUAUGUGGCAGCUCUGUCUGAUGUAGGUCUGUCAUUGUGGCGCUUAAUGUUGUUGAUCCAUGGUGAGGUCUCCCUGGGAGGAGGUCUGUGCUGUGAGGUCCCUGCCUCCAUGUACUUAUCUAACUACCAGUGGUCAGGUAUCUCCACCGCUAUGUAUCACACAGUAACGCUUAUGUAUGUUUUUCACCUAUGGGAAGAAGUUCUUAUGAACUAGUUAAAUAAAUAUAUAAUACAUAUGUUUUUCUGUUUGCUUUUUAUUUAGAAAUGGUAAAUGGCCUGCACUUGUUUGGUGCUUUAUCUAGUCCGAGGACCUCAGAGCGCAUCAGUCAUCCACUGACAGUGGAUCAAGGACACAAUGACUGAGACAGUCAGAGCAGGGGUUUGAACCAGCAACCCAGCAAUUACAGGACGAAUCCCCACCACCGCCACCACUUUCAACCCACAAAGAGUCUCUAGGGUGGCAGCAGAGUGCAUUCAGGCUCCACAACCACAUCAAAACAGUCAUGAGAUGUCGUCUGUCCGAGGCAAAAGUCCAAAACCUCAUGACAACCUCUGCAGCAAUCCCCCUCCAGACAAGCGGCUACAUAAUUCAGGUCCAUGGGGAGCAGGAAGAAGUUGUGAGACUGUGCGUUCAGGUCACAGCAGGUCGACUACCUGGGUGAAGACAAGGACAGGUGGACCUGGGCCUCCACCGACAUGUCGUAGUCUAAACGUUGGAACGCAUCCAUCAGCGCUGAUGUCACUCUGCCAUCAUCCUGCAGUCAGUCAGAGGGAAUACAGGAAAUCAUGUCAUCACACAUGAAACCUGACUGAAACGGCGGAGCCUGACUAAGGUCUGGUGCAGCUGAUGGGUAAUAAGGAGUCCUGCUGCUCUCAGGCACUAUUAAACUCGAAGAAAACUACGCUUUUCCUUUCUCCAUGCUGAACCAGACGCAGUGUCAUGAGUAACCAGGAAGGACAUUAUGGAUAAACUGAGAGCAACGUCAGAUUAGUUCAAAGCUGUAGUGAGAGUAAAUGAGGUGAAAGAUGUAACAGGUACUGCCAUCUAGUGUUCAUCUCAGGACCAGCAACCAUCUCACAUAACUAACUACGUAUAUACAAACUGUCUGGACCAGCAGGUAACCUUACCUUUACAUGCAAAAGAGGUAGGUUUAGGUCCAAGGUUGUGACAGCAAGCCAAUCUGAUUCAUCUGUCUUUAUUCACCUUUCACCAUUCCUUAGCCACUUUUUAUCUGUCCUUAUUUAUCUUUAAGGUGUCCUUAAUCACCUUUCCUCAGCUUUCACUGCUCCUGAUUCAUCUAUGGUCGGGCAACUUCCACCUGUCCUUUUUCCAUUUUCACCUUUCCUGAAUCAUCUUUCACAUUCGUGACCAGCAGCCAGUUCUUGC